rnacentral:lncRNA from 1 species
UUUGCUUCAUAUUUAAACAAUAUUUUCAAAAUCUGCUGAGGUUAUUCGACUAACUAAAUCAGAUAGUCGACUAUCAUGCCUUGCGAAAAAGUCCAAUUUUAAUGCGAAAUAUUAGAUAAUCGACUAACUGUUAGGUUAGUUGAUUAACUCUACUGGAAAAUAAAAAUAUCAUUGAAAUUUGAGCAUAUUGAAACAUUCUAAAGAACUAAUACUAACAUUAUAUCGUAAAAUAACUAAUACGA